GCUGAGCCACAACAGGAACUCCCAUUACUUUUCUUUUUAAACCCUGCUAUUCUGGCAUUUACCUGCCUCAUCUGCCUCAAAGAAUGCCUCCCAGGGGUGAACAGACGCUGCUCUCCCUAGCCUGGCCUCCUUCCAGACAAUCUGUGUCCCAAUCAUGUGGCUGGCGUGUCUGUGCCCGGCCCCGUGCUCCUACACGAGGGUGAGGCUGACCAGGGAGCGCCGGGCCCAUGCUCUGCUCCUCCCCGCCGAUUCUACACCAUCCGGGUGCCCCUCCCGCAGGAAGUUCUCUGCCAGCCUCGAAGGUUCCCAAACCCCACCAGAACCAAGCCUCUGAAACGGAACCCUCUCCCAGGGCUCUGACUGAGCACCCUCAGGCCAGGAAACGGAAUGCCUCUUUUUCUGUUAGGAUACAGGAAGAAGUCACUUCUCCUGCCUGUUCCUCAGCCAGAAAGCAGGACCCUGAACGACGCGCGUUCAGCUUCCACGGAAGGGAAUGAGGGAUGUGUGAAUCCCCCAAACACACUGCAUGCAGCAAGAAAACAGCCAGCCUUGGGAAAUAAUUCACCGGGGUGCAGGCACCGUUGCCUGUCCUAGCAAGCGGCCACCGCGCGCAAGCCACGUAGCCGUUCCUGCUCGUACGCGUUGGAGGGAGUGGUUGUGUCUUAUAAAACCGGGAAAGCUCAGGGAUCUGCAGGCAAGGAGGACUCCGAAGGCCGCUGCUGGCUGUGUGAACAGACCCCAGAAAUCACUUUCCUACCAAAAGAAAAAUGUCCUCAUGUACAGAAACAUCUGGACAACUGACACCCUUCCAGAGCAGAGGCAUCCUCCCAGGACGUCUCGGCCGAGCAGGGCGGGUGGACCAGCGACAAGGAUCAGACAGGCGGCUGAGAGCGGGCUGUCCAUUUGGGAAGACAAUACCCUCUCCCGCCCGACUACACGGUUAUUCAGCAAAUGUGUGCGGACUUGUUCUCGGUGUGAGGAUGGAGAGGAUGGAGCUCCCGACGGCGGUGCAGGGCGGGUGGAGCGGAGCCCAGCUGGGCGAUGUGCACAGUGGGGCCCAUCUGGCCGGGGACCUCGACACCCUAUUUCUCUUUGAACCCCCGGGCAGCCUCUUGAGACGGGCACCAGCACCCCUACUUUACAGACGAGAAAGCAAGGAACCAACCGUGUGGAGAGCAGGCCCGAGGUAGCCUUUUCCCACCUGUCCUCAGAAAGUCCAGAUCUACUCUUCCCCAGCCUUUAGCCCGGAAACAAUGCUUUGUUUCUUUUUCUUU